AGGAACUUGGCAAAUUAGCCCUGUAAGUUCGCAAGAAUGGAUGCCCAUGCAACCUAGGUCGUAGUGAAGAGGCACGGACUACUGUUUCUAAAACUCACAGCUCUAUGCUAAGGUGCAAGCUAUAGGAGGGGGCGACGCUUCCCCGGUGCUCCAAGGUUAAGAGGAGGGAUUCACUAAAAAGAAAAAAAAUCGAGUCACGUUCUAAUUUGAAGUUCGAGUGAACGGUGACCGCAACUAGAACGAUCCAAAGGUAGCGAAAUUCCUUGUCAGGUAAGUUCUGCAAAAUUUAAAAUUGAAAAGAAUUUAAAAGCU
rnacentral:ncRNA from 1 species